AUUGAACGCUGGCGGCAGGCCUAACACAUGCAAGUCGAACGGUAACAGGAAACAGCUUGCUGUUUCGCUGACGAGUGGCGGACGGGUGAGUAAUGUCUGGGAAACUGCCUGAUGGAGGGGGAUAACUACUGGAAACAGUAGCUAAUACCGCAUAACGUCGCAAGACCAAAGAGGGGGACCUUCGGGCCUCUUGCCAUCGGAUGUGCCCAGAUGGGAUUAGCUAGUAGGUGGGGUAACGGCUCACCUAGGUGACGAUCCCUAGCUGGUCUGAGAGGAUGACCAGCCACACUGGAACUGAGACACGGUCCAGACUCCUACGGGAGGCAGCAGUGGGGAAUAUUGCACAAUGGGCGCAAGCCUGAUGCAGCCAUGCCGCGUGUAUGAAGAAGGCCUUCGGGUUGUAAAGUACUUUCAGCGGGGAGGAAGGGAGUAAAGUUAAUACCUUUACUCAUUGACGUUACCCGCAGAAGAAGCACCGGCUAACUCCGUG
rnacentral:rRNA from 1 species